CCAAAUCAGAAAAGUGAGUUAUGCUCUUUCUACAGGUUAUGACAUCUAUCCAUGGGAUUUUUGGAGAAACAAGAAUGUUUGUGAAGGACAGAUACUGGAAGCUUUAGUGAGAUGCGGUGUAUUACCCUGCCUGUUUAAUGUUUGAUUUCCUCCAUGCUAACCUCAUGUCUAGUAUGACCAGCUCAUAACUACUCAGUUUUGAAAGGACUGAUGUACCCAGAAACACAACAUGAAAGACAUGGGAAGAAAAGAAGUGGAGGAGAGGCCUAAGAAAGAUGAAGACAGCCGGGCCCAGGGAGGAAAACAGGAAAUACUUCUCUUCUUAAUGAAAUUCUUCAAACUGUCUUGCUCAACAACCUCAUCUCAUUGCCCUCCUGCCUGGUUCCUCCUUGUUGUCAAAUAGAGUUUCCCUGGCCAGUCUACUCUAAUUAUUAUCAGUCAUUUGUGACUUUUUAUUAUGCUAUUUCAGAAUUUUUAUUAUACCCCUUUCCAUCUUUCCCAAAUAAUUGUAUAUGUCAAAAUCUGCUAAACUAGAAUUUUAAAAAAUGAAUUAAAACAUAUUAAGAAAUCAGAAUAUCAGUUCAGUAAUAUAAUGAAGAAUUAGAAGUCCACUGAAUGAGGGUAAUGGCCAUAUAUGCCUUGUUCUCUUGUUCUGUAUCGUGGUAUAAUUGUGCUGGAAUUCGAGAAUUCUCUCCUAUGAGAAUGGAAGUAACAUUAAUAUAGAUCUCCCAGUAUAUCUGCUACUAAGUCUUUUCCUUACUCUGUAGCACAGAAAUAUUUCCCCCACUGUAGAGAUAAGAAAAUUGAGAGGCAAACAGGUGAAUGAACACAAUCAAAGCCAAGAGUUACAAGGGGAGAAAAACCGAGAUUCAUGUAUAUGCUUCUCUAAUACCAAAAGCAGAUUUCCUUUUCGU
rnacentral:lncRNA from 12 species